UCUCUCUCUCUCUCUCUCUCUCUCUCUCUCUCUCUCUCCGUUCCUUAAUUAGCCCUAAUCCUCUCUCUCCCUCCCGAUCUCUGCUCCAUCACUCUCAUUCUCCUCCCUCUCUCUCCAAUGCAUCAGCCGUGAAGAAACAUAGGCCGUGAAUGCCUUCUUCUUCUUCCAUCUCUCUCUCUCUCUCUCUCUCUCUCUCUCUCUCUCUCUCUCUCGAUUGCGGUAGCCGUGAAUCUCCUACUCGAAGAAACACACGCCGUGAAGCUCCUCUCCAUAGGCUGAUGUAUUUUUAGCCCCACAGAUCAAUGUUGCCACUACAAGGUUCAAUAUUGAAAUGCUAUGUACAACAUUGGUGCAGUUAUCUUGCUCUGGGCACCUGUAGUCUUGAUUGCAUUGUGGAAUAUGCAUCCAUUAUUCAAAGAAAGGGCGACAUUACAAGCACUCACACUU